GUGAACGCUGGCGGUAGGCCUAACCCAUGCAAGUCGCACGGCAGCACAGUAAGAGCUUGCUCUUACGGGUGGCGAGUGGCGGACGGGUGAGGAGUACAUCGGAAUCUACUUUUUCGUGGGGGAUAACGUAGGGAAACUUACGCUAAUACCGCAUACGACCUACGGGUGAAAGCAGGGGAUCUUCGGACCUUGCGCGAUUGAAUGAGCCGAUGUCGGAUUAGCUAGUUGGCGGGGUAAAGGCCCACCAAGGCGACGAUCCGUAGCUGGUCUGAGAGGAUGAUCAGCCACACUGGAACUGAGACACGGUCCAGACUCCUACGGGAGGCAGCAGUGGGGAAUAUUGGACAAUGGGCGCAAGCCUGAUCCAGCCAUACCGCGUGGGUGAAGAAGGCCUUCGGGUUGUAAAGCCCUUUUGUUGGGAAAGAAAAGCAGCAGGUUAAUACCCCGCUGUUCUGACGGUACCCAAAGAAUAAGCACCGGCUAACUUCGUG
rnacentral:rRNA from 1 species